UUUGGGGAAAGCUGUGAAAAACGGCCCAUCCUGAAUUCUAAGUAUUUUAAUGCAUGCAUUUAUUGAGGGCCCCGUAAUUUAUGUAUUUUGUUUGGCGAGUCUCAUCUCAUUUAUUAUUAAAAAGGCAAACUUAGAAGCGACUAUGAUUUUUCUAUUUGUAUUUGUCUCUAAUAACAAAAGCAACCAUAGUCAAUAGAUAUGCAUGAAAGGUCUGAAAUUCCUAAACUUAAUUUCAAACAAUUAGGCCCAAGAGCCGAAAAAUGGGAGAGCGACAUUUUCGGCACACCCCAAAGUUUAUUUGCAUAGGAAAUGGGCCGCCUGAGCCCAUAGUGGUUCACCCGUCCAGUAUCAAGGUAACUGAGCCAGUUAAUUAAACUUUCACGGCAAGAGCAAGAGUUAUUUGGGCUUCAAUAAGUACAGCAUCCCAAUUAGAGCAAUUGUUUCAAUAUGUAACAAAUUUGCAGACUCAGUUUUGUACUUGCAUUAACUCAUAAAUCGGAUUAUUUUAGCACUCAAAAUUGAUGUUAUUUUAACCUAUUGUUGUACUGAUUUUGGCACAUAAGUUCAUUUAUCACUUCCAGCACAUAGCUCAUGAAUUGUUUGCUCAUUCCUAUUGGAGUAGAUUCCUGAAAAUUUAAUUGAUCCUUAUUGAUAGCUAUUGAUACUAGUGAAGUUGGAUUGCCCAUAACUAACUCUAUUGAAUCACAUACUCCACAUCAAUUUAGGACAUUUAAAUCACACAGGAAGUCACGACUAAUUUCUGGUUUCAGCUCACGCAAAUUAAACUAAGAUCAGCUACAUAGCAUUCUAGUCUUCUAAUUUCAGAGAUUAAACUAUACAAAAUAAAAUUAAACUAACUAAAAUCGACGAACAAACUCUAGUUUUAACAGUUCAUCGGCUAAACAGUCCUAAAUUAUUAUAGCUCAAAACAGUCCUUUAGUUACAGUAAACAACCAAUAACACCACAGAAAAACUAUCUAACAAAACCAACUACUGAUUCACCUUCUCAUAAACAGUCAUAAAUUCAAUUCAUAAUCCACAAGUCAGACAUAGUUUCAGAACAGUCCUAUUACAGUCCAAUGUGUGUACAAAUAAGAAUUAAACUAAACAAGCAUCUCUAACAUCUAAUUAACUAUCAAUACAUCAUAGUCCAAACUGGUGUGAUUUUCAGGGGCAAAUCAGCGAACAUUUUAUAGCAAUUCCACUUCGAAAUUACAUCAAGUCAAAAUUGAGAACGUGUACCUGAGUAUUUCAAAUAUAAGAAGAAGAGGGAGUCAGCAGCAAUUCAACAGCAAAAAUCAAAUACAAUCCAGAAGUUGAACUCGACAGUCCAGGAGAAAUUCAAAAUCAAAUAGAAAUAGAAACUCGAACAACACACUUGAAUACCCUCAGAUUAGCUUGAACUUGGACCAGGAAUUAUAGAAAACUUCAAUUGGACAAGUAAACCCCCAUGAACCUCAAUAAUCUGACUCGAAUUUCAACUAAUAGAUCUAUAAACUUUCAGCAAUCAAUGAGAGAACUAUGAGAGGUGAAUUGAUAAUAGAAUAUCAAAACUAACCUACAAUUUCCAGUGAAAUAGUGACUUUUUUUAUUUUUUUAUUUUUUGUUGUUUUUGUUUUUUGAAGUAUUAGAUCUAAGAUUUGGAUUUUGAAAUUCAAACCUGGAAUUCAGCUUUUGCAGAGAAUGGAUUUCGGGGGGAGGGGGGAGGAGAAUAUUUGGGGUCUAAAACUUGUGUAUUAAGGUAGGGGGCAUGCCUUUAUAUAAGCAGGAAAGGGGUGGGAAAGUUCGAGAACUCACUCCCUCCUGAUAAAACCUGAAAUUUCCUCCUCUUCCCUCACAUGUGACCUCCCCCAGCCUUAUCUUCAUAUUCCCUGUGUUUUUCUUUCCCAAACUACCCUUUUAGAUCCUAAAAAUUACUAAACUGAAUCAGCCCCUAUUCCACCCUGGUCUAUUAACCCUAACCUUCUAAACUAACCAUGGCUAAAUCAGUAUUUCUCAAAGUCGAAUAGCUAAAACCAAACAAAUCCUAAAAGUUAAACUAACAAGGAUAUUAAUUCUAAAAUAAGUACAUGACCAAGUAAAAUAGCACUAAAAAUUGAAGUAAACUAACAACAAUACUCAUUCAAUUGAAAUCAAACAAAAAGAAAAUCCGAGCAUAACAGAAUUAACGAAACAUCAAAACAGAACGGAAUAAAAUAAAAAACUAAGACUGAAUUAAUCACAACCCUAGACGAAUCCUAAAUCAAUACUAAUUGUUAUAUUAAUCUAUUCGACCUUAACGAUACUUCAGAUAAGACAACAAAGCAACAAUAAAAACAAUAAAACAAGAGAGGGAAGGGCAGUGCAGUGAUGGAAUGCAACAAAGAAGAACGACGAGAUGAAGUAAACAAAAACAGAAACAGGGCAAAGAAAAGAAACGAGGUGAAAUACCUAACAAAGAAAGCAAAUGGCUGACUUGAAUGAACUCCGGCGUCUUGGAUUCGAGUCGAAACAAAUACUAACCUGGUUUUCUCAACGAAAACACAUGGUCAAUACUCGUUUUGAUCCCUAUCGCUUAAAGGAAGCAGACAAAUUUGGAAAAUUUCUUCUUCUUCAGUAUCAGACUCGAACGGACUGAUUUGGCAAGGUUUUGGGCAAAAAUGAUGAUGGAUUAGGUUUUAGGGAAGGAUGAUGGUCGCGUGGAUGAGAUUUGGGUGAUGGAUUGAUUCCUUCGCUGGUAAAUGGUGGACUUUACGGCUGCUAGGGUUUAACUGAAUGAAGAAGAAGAGAGAAAGACAGGGGUGUUUGGUUUGGUCUUAAGUUUAUGAAAGUAUAUUAGGACAUUAUUAUUUAGGUGGGAGAAGGGGAU
rnacentral:lncRNA from 1 species